rnacentral:rRNA from 1 species
UACGGAGGGGACUAGCGUUGUUCGGAAUUACUGGGCGUAAAGCGCACGUAGGCGGAUUUGUAAGUCAGGGGUGAAAUCCCGGGGCUCAACCUCGGAACUGCCUUUGAUACUGCAAAUCUCGAGUCCGGAAGAGGUGAGUGGAAUUCCUAGUGUAGAGGUGAAAUGCGCAGAUAUCAGGAGGAACACCGGUGGCGAAGGCGGGUCUCUGGGCCGAUACUGACGCUGAGGAGCGAAAGCGUGGGGAGCGAACAGG